UAAGCAGACUGUGGAAGGCCUGUGAAGAUAGAGAGUAAAACGAAUGCAGCAAAAUGCAGGGAAAUCCUGGUGCAGUCUGCAAGAGAACUGUACUUGGGAGAAGGUUUGUUUUCCAACAAGACAAUGAUCCCAAGCAUAAAGCCAAAGCUACACAGGAAUGACUUAAAAACAACAAAGUUAAUGUCCUGGAGGGGCAAAGUCAGAGUCCAGACCUCAAUCCAAGGAGAAUUUGUGGUUGGACUUGAAAAGGGUUGUUCAUUCACGAUCCCCAUGCAGCCUGACAGAACUUGAGCAGUUUGUAAAGAAGAAUGGGGAAAAGUUGCAGUGUCCAGAUGUGCAAAGCUGAUGGAGACCUAUCCACACAGACUCAAGGCUGUAAUUGCUGCUGAAGGUGCAUCUACUAAAUACUGACUUGAAGAGGAGCAUAAGAGACAAAGGCCAAGAGCUCAGACAGCAAGCGCACAGUUGCUCCGGUAACCCUCCUGACCUCAGUUACCAUUGGUUGUCUGACCUGUCUAUCUUCAUCCAACUCUAUGAGAAAGACAACUGGUGGUCGGCACCCCAUGGGAGAAGAACGGAGACGGGAGGCACCUGGCGGUAAUGGUUCUGUCUCAACUUUGCUCACCUGACCUGGAACAUCUAGCGAUCAAAUGACAUCCAUUUUAUCUGCCGAGGGAGUUUUCUGCCAUCAUCCUGGUAGUGGUGCACAUUCCACCUCUGACCAACAUCAGGCAACAUCAGGAGCUGAAUCAACAGUCACAAAACAAUGCAUCCUGAUGCCUUUCCAAACACUGCAGGGGGAAUCUCAACUAAGCCAACUUGAAGGAGUCUCCACCAGCAAUGAUGUCACCUGAGGAACCAGAGGCACC